GAUGAACGCUAGCGGCAGGCCUAACACAUGCAAGUCGAGGGGUAACUUGAUUGAUAGCAAUAUUAAUUAAGCUAGACCGGCGCACGGGUGCGUAACACGUAUGCAAUCUACCUUAUACAGGGGCAUAACUUCGAGAAAUCGAUGCUAAUUCCCCAUAACACUGUGAAGUGGCAUCACUUUAUAGUUAAAGCUCAGGCGGUAUAAGAUGAGCAUGCGUCCAAUUAGCUAGUAGGCGAGGUAACGGCUCACCUAGGCUAGGAUUGGUAGGGGUUCUGAGAGCAUGAUCCCCCACACUGGUACUGAGACACGGACCAGACUCCUACGGGAGGCAGCAGUGAGGAAUAUUGCGCAAUGGACGAAAGUCUGACGCAGCCAUGCCGCGUGAAGGAUUGAAGGCCCUAUGGGUUGUAAACUUCUUUUGUACGGGAAUAAACGCUCCCUCGUGAGGGAGCCUGAAGGUACCGUAAGAAUAAGCACCGGCUAACUCCGUGCCAGCCGCCGCCGUAACAC
rnacentral:rRNA from 1 species